rnacentral:rRNA from 1 species
AGUGAACGCUGGCGGCGGGCCUAAUACAUGCAAGUCGAACGGAGUGGCGCACGGGGGAGUAACGUAUAGCUAAUCUGCCCUACAGUAGAGGACAACAGUUGGCAACGACUGCUAAUACUCUAAAGUGUAGGAUGAGGCUAUAGUGUAUCAGUAAGUUGGUGAGGUAAUGGCUCACCCAGGCUAUGACGCAUAACUGGUCUGAGAGGAGGAUCAGUCACACCGGAAGUGAGACACUGUCCAGAAUCCUACCGGAGGCAGCCGUAGGGAAGAUUGCUCAAUGGGGGAGACCCUGGAGGAGCACCGCCGCGUGGAGGAUGACACUUUUCGGGGCGUAAACUCCUUUUGUUAGGGAAGCGGUACCUAACGAAUAAGCACCGGCUAACUCCGUGCCAGCAGCCGCGGUAAUUC